UACGUAGGGCGCGAGCGUUGUCCGGAUUUAUUGGGCGUAAAGCGCUCGUAGGCGGCUUGUCGCGUCGAAUAUGAAAUCUCGGGGCUCAACUCCGAGCUUGCAUUCGAUACGGGCAGGCUAGAGUUCGGUAGGGGAGACUGGAAUUCCUGGUGUAGCGGUGAAAUGCGCAGAUAUCAGGAGGAACACCGGUGGCGAAGGCGGGUCGCUGGGCCGAUACUGACGCUGAGGAGCGAAAGCGUGGGGAGCGAACAGG
rnacentral:rRNA from 1 species